UCCCAUGUGGCUCAGUUGGUAGAGCAUGGUGUUUGCAACACCAGGGUCGUGGGUUUGAUUCCCACGGGGGAC
rfam:Salmo salar isolate Sally breed double haploid chromosome ssa16, whole genome shotgun sequence.